AUGAACGCUGGCGGCGUGCCUAAUACAUGCAGGUCGAGCGAACGGACGAGAAGCUUGCUUCUCUGAUGUUAGCGGCGGACGGGUGAGUAACACGUGGAUAACCUACCUAUAAGACUGGAAUAACUUCGGGAAACCGUAGCUAAUACCGGAUAAUAUUUUGAACCGCAUGGUUCAAAAGUGAAAGACGGUCUUGCUGUCACUUAUAGAUGGAUCCGCGCUGCAUUAGCUAGUUGGCAAGGUAACGGCUUACCAAGGCAACGAUGCAUAGCCGACCUGAGAGGGUGAUCGGCCACACUGGAACUGAGACACGGUCCAGACUCCUACGGGAGGCAGCAGUAGGGAAUCUUCCGCAAUGGGCGAAAGCCUGACGGAGCAACGCCGCGUGAGUGAUGAAGGUCUUCGGAUCGUAAAACUCUGUUAUUAGGGAAGAACAUAUGUGUAAGUAACUGUGCACAUCUUGACGGUACCUAAUCAGAAAGCCACGGCUAACUACGUG
rnacentral:rRNA from 1 species